rnacentral:rRNA from 1 species
AAGAGACAGCAGUCGCCGCGGGAAUACGGAGGGUGCAAGCGUUAUCCGGAUUUAUUGGGUUUAAAGGGUCCGUAGGCGGAUCUGUAAGUCAGUGGUGAAAUCUCACAGCUUAACUGUGAAACUGCCAUUGAUACUGCAGGUCUUGAGUAAAUUUGAAGUGGCUGGAAUAAGUAGUGUAGCGGUGAAAUGCAUAGAUAUUACUUAGAACACCAAUUGCGAAGGCAGGUCACUAAGAUUUAACUGACGCUGAUGGACGAAAGCGUGGGGAGCGAACAGGAUUAGAUACCCCUGUAGUCCCUGUCUCUUAUAU